rnacentral:rRNA from 1 species
AACGCUAGCUACAGGCUUAACACAUGCAAGUCGAGGGGCAGCAUGGUCUUAGCUUGCUAAGGCCGAUGGCGACCGGCGCACGGGUGAGUAACACGUAUCCAACCUGCCGUCUACUCUUGGACAGCCUUCUGAAAGGAAGAUUAAUACAAGAUGGCAUCAUGAGUUCACAUGUUCACAUGAUUAAAGGUAUUCCGGUAGACGAUGGGGAUGCGUUCCAUUAGAUAGUAGGCGGGGUAACGGCCCACCUAGUCUUCGAUGGAUAGGGGUUCUGAGAGGAAGGUCCCCCACAUUGGAACUGAGACACGGUCCAAACUCCUACGGGAGGCAGCAGUGAGGAAUAUUGGUCAAUGGGCGCAGGCCUGAACCAGCCAAGUAGCGUGAAGGAUGACUGCCCUAUGGGUUGUAAACUUCUUUUAUAAAGGAAUAAAGUCGGGUAUGUAUACCCGUUUGCAUGUACUUUAUGAAUAAGGAUCGGCUAACUCCGUGCCAGCAGCCGCGGUAAUACGGAGGAUCCGAGCGUUAUCCGGAUUUAUUGGGUUUAAAGGGAGCGUAGAUGGAUGUUUAAGUCAGUUGUGAAAGUUUGCGGCUCAACCGUAAAAUUGCAGUUGAUACUGGAUACCUUGAGUGCAGUUGAGGCAGGCGGAAUUCGUGGUGUAGCGGUGAAAUGCUUAGAUAUCACGAAGAACUCCGAUUG